UCCACAUACUUCUUUUCUUGGAAAGCUUUCAGAAUAGGAGAGGACUUUGCAUAUCUUAAAUCAUUUUAAGAUGGUAUCUUAUCAUACUAUGAUUCUCAGUGAUCCAAACUUGGUUACUUAGCAGGUGACUUUCCUGGCCUUGUUCAAGGUGUUUUCACCACACAAACAACUCUUAAUUGUCUACUUGGUGAUGAGCCCAGAUACCUGGAAUCCAUAGAAAAUUCCUAACAUGAUUUUACCCAAUAGUUUCUAAUCUUUCAUCAGACUGCUGAGGCAGCAGCAACAGUGUUGACAGACUGAGGUUUCAUCAUCCUGCCCUCCCCUGCUGCCUGUCUCUGCCCACCCUCUACCCCCGGGAAAGUGCUGGAGCAGAGGGAGGGUUCAGGGAGGCAAUAUUGAGAAGGAACAUGCCAGCUGGGGGUCUGGAUAAUCCACAAACUGGAUUAUCUGUCCCUGACUUUGCAUAGAUGUAAGCAGGUGGCCUAUAUGUAGACAGGAUGUACUGGGAUGAGCCAUGGGCAUCUGGUUAACGUGUGUGUGUAUAUGGGGGGGUGGUCCUACAAUAAAUUCCCCCACCUACUUAUCUCCCAUCCAGAGCAUUAAUUCAACCAAUCACUCCUUCUUUCAAUUAACCACAUAUAAUAUGAAUAGUAUUUAGCAUUAUUUACUGUAGUUUCAUAGUGAGAGACUAGAAUUUUUUUUUUUUUUUUCAAGACGGAGUCUUGCUCUGUCGCCUAGGCUGGAGUGUAGUGGCGCGAUCCAGGCUCACUACAACCUCUGCCUCCUGAGUUCAAGUGAUUGUCCUGCCUCAGCCUCCUGAGCAGCUGGGAUGACAGGCUCACGCCACCAGGCCUGGCUAAUUUUUGUAUUUUUAGUAGAGACGGGGUUUCACCAUGUUGGCCAGGCUGGUCUUGAGCUACUGACCUCAUAUUAUCCGCCCACCUCGGCCUCCCAAAGUGCUGGGAUUACACAUGUGAGCUACCACGCCCGGCCGAAAAAAUUUUUAAAAAUCUUUAUUGUGCACUGAAGGCUGACUAGGGGCUGACACAGCAUCCUAGGCACUGGAGCUAAGGUGCAAUUUGUACCCAAAGAAGUGUCUUAGAUCUGGUUCCCUUGAUGUGCAGACUGAGAUGGGGAUUUGGGCGGCACAUGGUUUAUUGUGAGGCAAACUCUCAGGAGAAGGGAGGAAAGGAAAGAGGGUGGGGCACAGAGUGGGGAAGCAAGGAUGUGCUUCACAGCUGAGUCUGGUUUUGGCUUGAUCCUGUGGGAAGCUCUGGGUGGACAACUGUAUGACAGAAAGGAUCCCACCUGAGUCAGGGAGGCUAGUUUUUUAUGUCCCUGUCAGUCAGCUAAUUGGCUGCCCUCUAGGCCAAGGGCAAGUCCAGAGAUGGAGAGCCAUUGGCAGCCAAAACUCACAGUCAGCACCGGGAAUCUGGGUGGAGCACCAAGGCAUCCACUCAGGGAGUAGCCUGAGAAGAGAAGAGUGAGCUGACCCGAGCAAGCACAGCCCUGAUUGUUAUCCACACUUGGCAACCCAGUCCUCUUUCUACUCUCACUCUCAGCCUGGCCUCAACCCUUAUCUGCCCUUGUCCCACCUUCUUUCUCUUUCUGUUUCUUUUUCUUCCUCUUUCUUUCCUUCUUUCUUUCUUUCUUUUUUUUUUUUUUUUUUUGACAGCGUCUCACUCUGUUGCCCAGGCUGGAGUGCAGUGGCAUGGUCACGGCUCACUGCAGCCUGGAACUCUUGGGCUCAAGCGAUCCUCCCACCUCAGACUCUCUAGCAGCUGGGACCACAGGUGCACACCACCAUGCCCAACUAAUUACUUUUUGUAGAGACAGGGUCUCACUAUGUUGCCCAGGAUUCCUACUUCUGAUCCUGCCUUGUCUGUCUUGAGAAUGUUUAUCAGGUUGAAACCUUGAGUUUCUUCAAGAGGCUCCAGGAGGCUGUGGCUACUGAGUCAUUCCUUGACCUCUUUCCUUGCCUAUGGGUCAUCUGAGCCCCACUGUUCCCUUAGGCAGAAAACUUUGAUAUCCUUGGGGACAUCUGACCCUAACCCCUUCUCUUGCUCUUUCUCCUUUAUUGGGUGUACCCAUCCCAUCUCCUGUGGUGGAGAAAGGACAGUUCAAGAGAAAUUCAUUCUCAAGGCUUGACUCCUACUUAAACAUCACAGGAUACAUUCCCUGGAAGGGGAAGGGUGCGUCUGUACUGGCUUCCUUAGAAACUUCAGAACAGAAAAGACGCCUCCUUUCCCUCCCCCUCCCCAAUUCAAACAGGGGCUGGGAGAGAGGAAGAGAUUAUUGUUUCAGGGGGUGGGGGGUGUGGAUGGACUGAGUGCUGAAACUUCCUUUUCUUCUGGCACAGCUCUAUUUGUAGAAGUGCCAGAGUCCUGGGGAGAAAAGCAAGAGAGGGAGAAAAAGAACAUUAUUUGAGGGCAUUUGGCUGCUCUUUUACACUCGAGAUCAAACAGAGAAAAUCCAGCGUCAUGCCCUCCCCAUCUUUCUGUCCCUAGCAUGUAGAUGUCCUGUGGUGUGUCUCACAAAUGCACAUGCACAUGCAUGCGAACACACACACAAACACGCACACACACCCUCGCACUGUUGAAACCAGAGCUGCUGGCUCCAGGGAGGGGAGUGAAGAAGCAGCUGUGGACAGGUAUGGGUGGCCACAUACCUGCCCUUCUGGGAGGUGACACUUCCAUUACACCUCCACAGGUUUCAUGUUGACCUCACCCUAGCUUUGGCCCAAUGUUGUCAGGAUGGGCAGAAGGAUGGCAGAGCUCAGCUGGCCCAAAGCCAGCAAGCAAAGAGUUCUCAGCAGGCCCUUGAAGUGCCAGCAAAUCAGUUCCCCCCAAGGACCAAAUCUGGAGAAAACUCAGCUUAAAGCACAGCAGUAGCACACACUGGCUUCAGCAACACAUAUACUAAAAUUGGAAUGAUACAGAGAGGAUUAGUAUGGCCCCUGCAUAAGAAUGAUACGCAAAUUGAUGAAGCAUUCCAUAUUUUUCAGUUUGUCAAGCAUUUUAUUCUUUUGAAUAAAACCAACAUGUCUAUAACUUAACAAAAAAGCAGCAUAGCAGCAGAGAUUGGGCCUAGAUCACUAGGUGAACUUCAGUGAUGGCUGAGAGAAGCACCCUGGAGACUUCUUGAGGGUUGGGGGAAGCCCCCAUCUUCCCUGAGGGAUUUUCGGAAGGCAGGGUGCAGGCCCAGGAUAAAGUUCCGGGUCUGGAUUGCAGAAAGUGACCCUGGCAGCCCAAAACCUUUGGCAUUGCUGAAUCAGAAGGGAUUUUGACUGGCCUCAUGUCACCCCCAGUAGGCUGGGACUGGGGCUCUAAUUGGCUGUAAUUUGUUGAUGAAUGCAAUUUGCAGCUGCCUUCUCUCUUUGUGACAGGCCUCAAUUAGAGCCGCCAAAGGGAUCUAGGGUGGGAGGGGGAGCUGGGAUGUUGAUUCCAACUCCUUCCCCUGGUCCGCUCUCAGCACUCUGCCCCAUCCUGAAGCAAGAGGAGGUUCUUGAGGCUAGUUAAUUGUCCCCCAGCUUGGCCGGGGAAUGGUGGCUCACGCCUGUAAUCCCAGCACUUUGGGAGGCCGAGGUGGGUGGAUCACGAGGUUAGGAGAUUGAGACCAUCCUGGCUAACACGGUGAAACC
rnacentral:snRNA from 10 species